rnacentral:rRNA from 1 species
CGUACACUCCUACGGGAGGCAGCAGUAGGGAAUCUUCCACAAUGGGUGCAAACCUGAUGGAGCAAUGCCGCGUGAGUGAAGAAGGUCUUCGGAUCGUAAAGCUCUGUUGUUAGAGAAGAACACGUGCUAGGUAACUACUAGCGCCUUGACGGUAUCUAACCAGAAAGUCACGGCUAACUACGUGCCAGCAGCCGCGGUAAUACGUAGGUGACAAGCGUUGUCCGGAUUUAUUGGGCGUAAAGGGAGCGCAGGCGGUCUGUUUAGUCUAAUGUGAAAGCCCACGGCUUAACCGUGGAACGGCAUUGGAAACUGACAGACUUGAAUGUAGAAGAGGAAAAUGGAAUUCCAAGUGUAGCGGUGGAAUGCGUAGAUAUUUGGAGGAACACCAGUGGCGAAGGCGAUUUUCUGGUCUAACAUUGACGCUGAGGCUCGAAAGCGUGGGGAGCGAACAGGAUUAGAAACCCUAGUAGUCCCA